ensembl:lncRNA
GUAAAAUAACAAUAGCGAGGCUAUAUACAGGGGGUACCAGUACAGAGUCAAUGUGGAGGCUAUAUACAGGGGGUACCAGUACAGAGUCAAUGUGGAGGCUAUAUACAGGGGGUACCAGUACAGAGUCAAUGUGGAGGCUAUAUACAGGGGGUACCGUACAGAGUCAAUGUGGGGGCUAUAUACAGGGGGUACCAGUACAGAGUCAAUGUGGAGGUUAUAUACAGGGGGUACUAGUACAGAGUCAAUGUGGAGGCUAUAUACAGGGGGUACCAGUACAGAGUCAAUGUGGAGGCUAUAUACAGAGGGUACCAGUACAGAGUCAAU